rnacentral:rRNA from 1 species
GACGAACGCUGGCGGCGUGCUUAACACAUGCAAGUCGAACGGAAAGGCCCUGCUUUUGUGGGGUGCUCGAGUGGCGAACGGGUGAGUAACACGUGAGUAACCUGCCCUUGACUUUGGGAUAACUUCAGGAAACUGGGGCUAAUACCGGAUAGGAGCUCCUGCUGCAUGGUGGGGGUUGGAAAGUUUCGGCGGUUGGGGAUGGACUCGCGGCUUAUCAGCUUGUUGGUGGGGUAGUGGCUUACCAAGGCUUUGACGGGUAGCCGGCCUGAGAGGGUGACCGGCCACACUGGAACGGGGAUACGACCCAGACCCCUACGGGAGGCAGCAGUGCGGAAUAGUAUACAAGGCGAGGAGGCCUGAUGCAGCACCGCCGCGUGCGGUAUGACGGCCUUCGGGUUGUGAUCCGCUGCCGUUUGUGACGAAGCGUGAGUGACGGUAAUGGGUAAAGAAGCACCGGCUAACUACGUG